rnacentral:misc_RNA from 1 species
UAAAAAAAAGUCGUACAUCUUUGAUGUUACGGAUCUGGGUAAUAUCGAUUUUAUAAAUCGAUUACCUAAAAUUAAUAUAUAUAUGUAAUGUGAAGCGUACUAAUUAUAGUCGUUAAUCAUUUUAUAUUUAUUACAUUACAACUAAGUAAUUUAGAUAGUGAUGUAUGAAUUAUGAGAA